rnacentral:rRNA from 1 species
AUUGAACGCUGGCGGCAGGCCUAACACAUGCAAGUCGAACGAGUGGCGGACGUGUGAGUAAUGUCUGGGACACUGCCUGAUGGAGGGGGAUAACUUCUGGAAACGGUAGCUAAUACCGCAUACCAUCGGAUGUUCCCAGAUGGGUUUAGCUAGUGGGUGGGGUAAAGGCUCACCUAGGCGACGAUCCCUAGCUGGUCUGAGAGGAGGACCAGCCACACUGGAACUGAGACACGGUCCAGACUCCUACGGGAGGCAGCAGUGGGGAAUAUUGGACAAUGGGCGCAAGCCUGAUGCAGCCAUGCCGCGUGUAUGAAGAAGGCCUUCGGGUUGUAAAGUACUUUCAGCGGGGAGGCGGGACCCGAAGAAGAAGCACCGGCUAACUCCGUGCCAGCAGCCGCGGUAAUUG